AUGGUCCCCCAGUAUCGAACUCUGCAGACUGUCAGGACGGGACGCUCGCUCUGUGCCACCGGGCGGCCUGUCCCACGGUAUUUACAGACAGGAGCAGUUGCCAGAGUUAUGCGUGACAUUUCCUGGCGGAGCAGCUGUCGGAUGUAUUUACAGCCGGUAAUAGACGGUAUAUUUCGGUACUACAGACCGAUACUUCAUACACGCGCUUCUACUAAAAACAUAAAUCCUCCAGCCAUUUUAAUUUCUAAUAAUAAUAAUAAUAAUAACAGUAACAAUAGUCCCCAGAAUAGAAUGAAACGAAGAUGCCCUGCGUCGCCUGCGUUAUUAAUAAUAUGUAUUUAUUCCCAGAUCUUCACCCCACGGCUGGGAUCGGGUCUUUCGGGGGCCACCAGCAGGCCUGACCCCGGCCCGUACCCCAGGAACGUCCCCACAAGGAGGACCAGACGUUCGUGGUGUCCGCUUUUGGGGACCAGCGUGAACCCCGCCUCCCAGGACACCCGCCCGAACCCGACCGACCGACCGACCGACUCACCAUCAUCUUCCCGAGCCGCGGAACGCGUCAGGGACGCAUGUCGCACGACGGCGGCGGCGACGGCGACGGAUGCUGGGCUCGUGCGGAGCCGCGCUGCGCUUCCAUCGAUGACGUAAUGUGGAAUCUCUCCGCGUGCGCCGAGACGCGCAGGACGUCACCGCCGACCGAGAUUUCUGCCCGUCGUCACGUGACACACGAUAAACGCUUUCCGAAUUAGAUUUAAUUAAAAUGAAAUCUUAUUGUCAAGGUAUUUAUUUUCUGCCAACCAUUUGGUACAGUAAUGAUUGUUGCCGUGAUUUAAACUGAUAUAAAUCAGUCGCCGUGAUUUAUAAUCCAGAGGACGCGCAGCCGCGAAUUAUUCGUGAAUUUGUUACGCCGCAGUAGUGCAGCGCGCAGCUCGAACGCGCCCCUGCGCAGACAUGCGCAGAUCUGCGCAGCGCCGCCGCCGCCGAACACGCCCCUCUUGUUGCCUGGCAACCGCCGUUCGGCAAACUGCUGGAGCCAAAAGUUUAGACCAUAGUAUAAAAAUGUAUAAUAAACGAAUUGUAUACGCAUAUAUAUAUUCUUAUUUAUUAUUUGAUUAGAUUGGUUUAAAAGAUAAAAAAAAACAGAUAUAUGCUAAAUGGAUAUAAGUGUAAGGGUCAGAUAAUAAUGUUAGCUAAUAUUGACUAUAGUUUCUAAAUUUAACCAGCAACAUAGAAGUUCACUUUGUACUUUUUCGUAGUAAUUAAAGGGCGCAUUUGUUAAAGAAAAAAAAAUCUUAAGAAAAUUAUCUUACAGAAAAAUUGGUAGAUAUUACUAAUCUUGGAGCUUCUUUAUCUACUUAACAUUUCAAGAUGCCUGUGGGUUCAUUUAUACGCUGCAAAUGAACCCUGAUUAAAAUAAUAAGAGGAGGUUUCAAAAACCUGCGGACCAGGGGGGGUGUUCAUUCGGAUCGUGCCGGCAGGCGGCGCUGUUGCGCUGUGGUGAACACUCCCAUCCCGUGUGUGUGAACAAAGUGCUCUGUCACGUCAAGGAGCUGAUGAGGAAACUGGACGGAUGGUGUCGAAAGGUUCAUUAAAACACACACACACACACACACACACACACAUAUAUAUGUAUAUAUUCAUAUUUCAAUAUGAUUUGCAGCACGUGGCCUCAGCCACAGUGACUGAAACAUGAAGCAUUUCCACUAAUUAAGACCAUGAGAUGGUUUAUGAACACCGAAUAUCAACAAUUAGUAAUAAAAAAAUGUCUCUUUCUUGACCAUAUGGUUACGUCCCCUGAGAGUUGGGACUGUAUUGUGAUAUCUGCUCGAGGAUGGUGGUGCCGCAGGAAGAACUUCUCUUUUUUACGGUAAUUAAGAGAAAGGGGAAUAGUGCAUGGCUCACAUUGUCAAUCACUGUUCUGCAGACAGUCGAGCUCCCGAGGAUGACGGCAGGUAAGAGACUUCGCCCAAGUUUUAGGAUUUAAAUACUCACAUAGGUAUGUGAUGCGAUGAAAAGUCGUGACGCUCGCAGAUGCUCACUUCCACUUUAAAAGCUGAUAACAUUCGCUGACGUGUCAAAGAGAGUCCUUUAUUAUUCCCAGCUAAAAAAUGUAGACACUCAGCAUUAAUAUACUUUUGCUAUUUGUGCGUAAAUAAUGUGAAUUGUCUGUUAAUGUUUGUGACGUGAUGUGUCCUGCCCAUCUUUAAUAACCUCUGCAUUGGUCAGGUUCUGCGGGCGAUUCGCCGAACUCCGCGUGGGAGCGGCCCUUGGUCGCUGACCGGCGGGAGGCCCUUGAGAAGGAGGGAAGAACUUGGCGCUGGUCCUCUUGUUCUCCCUCUCCAGGCCACGCCCAACGAGACCAUUCCUCUCUGUGGCACGUGAGACUUCCAAGCUGGCAGAUCUUCUGGAGCUGAAAGAAGGCCGACUGCAGGGAGCGAAAGAAAAAGUGGGAAAGGUGUAAUUCAUCUGCUAGACAUGAAGUUGCAGACCAGGGGUCACCCACCCAGCGUCCAGUUGCUGAGCUGGAUCAGGGUUUGGUGGAAGAUGGGAAGAUCUGACCCCUGUUCUAGACCUUUUCAGCUGUCGUGUGGAGGCUGGUCAGGUUUUAAAAGGCAUGACACCCAUGAACACUACAGCCUACAGCUACACACGGGUCAGUGAGAGCUGCACGGAGGUCUUCACGAGGAGGGCUGGAACGCGAGCAGCGGAGAGUAAACGAGGAGAAGAGAAGGAGUCGGCCGAGCGAUCGAUUGCGCCUUCAUGUCAAGCCUUCCAGAACUUUCAGUUCAGCAUCACUGCACUCUGCCGCUCUUCUGAAGCCUCCGAAAUGAUGCACGCACCAAACAAAUGAAAGCCCAGCCAGGAUGCCAGAAAGCUCCACCAUGUUUCUGUCCAGAUGUUACUGGUUCAGGAAUAAAGGCCAGAUAAUACAGUCAUUUUACGCCACGGCACGGGGCUCAUGACUGAGUGGACGUUGGAACAGGUCCUUUCUACUUACUUCCACGUCUGCGUCUGUGACAGGAUGCAGGAGGAAGUCACUCCGAGACGGGACCUGGACAAAUCCAGGCUCAGGUGACGUCAGGAGUGUGACAGGGAAUAAAAAGGGAGGAGAACAGUGCUCGGCCCGUCCUCUGGAGGGCAGGAACGGCCCGCCGUUGAGCGUGACAGCAUCCGUCUCCGGCUCUCCGGUCCCACGUCCCCACGUCCCCGCUGGAAGCAGCAUAUGGGCUCCAUGUCCCUGAAGACUAGCGUUUACUAAAAUUACUGGUAGGUGGGGGGGAAGAACGCGCCAGUUUGCCAAGUCUCUGGGUCACUGGGUUACUUAGCUCUACAUCACGUUUUUCCCACUCCAGCUCCUGUUCCAUAUGGUGCUGGUACUAACAUAUGGCUCGCGUGUGCGCUCUUCUUUAGCACGUGCCCGAGCAGUUUUGGUUUCUGUGUAAAUAUUUGGUCACGCCUGCACGCCAACGUUUCCCCCUGAUGCUGUAUUCAACUUCGGCCCGUACUCGCGUCCCCACGACUGACUUCAGCGCUGGUGAGAAGCCGGGCCGGGUUCAUAUCUGUACGCGAAGCGGCCGUGAAGGAGCUUCACCGGGUGGGGCCAAGGCCGUGCUGCAGCAGACCUUCAGCCAGGAAGCUCCACUUCCACACGCCACAGUUUACGUCUGGAAGCGGAUUUCCUUCAGGUGGAGUGAAAUGGCCGGCUUGGAGGUUUGAAGAUCUCUGGGUAGGUAGGUCUCCAGGACAGAAUUUGGCCAGCCUCGGUGCGCUCAAGCAGGCCCUCCUGCAUGACUGGCUUCCUUAAAUCUUCGGUGCACUCCGGUUUCAGUUCAGUGGAGCUGCGCUGGUGCCAAAUGCUGCUGAAUUCUUGCAGCCUAAUUGAAUUGAGCCCUUUGUCUGACUUUUUUUUCACCGUAUUCGUCUCACUGUCGACGACCGCGGUCCUUUUUAAUACUGUUAAGAAUCGCCACGACGUUAAAAAAGCCAACAACCCCCCCCUUAAUAAUUCAACUUUGACACGAAGGCUGAGUCUGAGUGGAGACCUCACUUCACGCCGCUCGUGAGCUGGAGCAGAUGGUCCGCAUCUAACCUCCGUUCUUCCAGAAGAACCCGAUCAAGGACCCGAGGAUGCGGCUGGAAGGAAGGCAUUCAGACAGGUCCUGAAUGUCUCGAUCUCGGACAGGUCCUGCCCGAACCCGAGAUCGGCAAGGAGGAGAGGAAGGCGGAGCGCUGUGGUGAGCUUGAAAAGUCUGAAAAGACGCGCCUGGUAGAAGCUAUAGAGGAGUUGCAGGAGAUUUACGAUGGGAAAGAAGGUAGAAACGUUACACCUGACUUCAGUCUUCACCAAUCUCCACAACGCGGUGAUACCGAUGAAACCAGUGCCAGUGAUGGUCUAUUCUGGUCCCAUGUUGGUAUACGGCCGCUUUAAAUGAUCACUGAUUCGUCUAUGGAUUCACAUAAUGGAGAGCGAGCAGAUCAUUUUGAUAGCAGUUCAUAAAUUUGGGGUUGUUUUACGUUCUUAUGUAUUGAAUACUUAAAACACAUAAAACACAGAAUAUGUAACAUAUUGUGAGUUAUCUCAUCAUAUAUUUAAUAAUGAACCCUAAUAGUUCAUAAUAAACCGU
ensembl:lncRNA